rnacentral:misc_RNA from 1 species
GAUGAAGAACGCAGCGAAAUGCGAUAAGUAAUGUGAAUUGCAGAAUUCAGUGAAUCAUCGAAUCUUUGAACGCACAUUGCGCCCGCCAGUAUUCUGGCGGGCAUGCCUGUUCGAGCGUCAUUUCAACCAUCAAGCCCCCGGCUUGUGUUGGGGACCUGCGGCUGCCGCAGGCCCUGAAAACCAGUGGCGGGCUCGCUAGUCACUCCGAGCGUAGUAAUACAUCUCGCUCAGGGCGUGCUGCGGGUUCCGGCCGUUAAAAAGCCUUAUUUACCCAAGGUUGACCUCGGAUCAGGUAGGAAGACCCGCUGAACUUAAGCAUAUCAAUAAGCGGA